AGUGAACGCUGGCGGUAGGCCUAACACAUGCAAGUCGAACGGCAGCACAGUAAGAGCUUGCUCUUACGGGUGGCGAGUGGCGGACGGGUGAGGAAUACAUCGGAAUCUACUUUUUCGUGGGGGAUAACGUAGGGAAACUUACGCUAAUACCGCAUACGACCUACGGGUGAAAGCAGGGGAUCUUCGGACCUUGCGCGAUUGAAUGAGCCGAUGUCGGAUUAGCUAGUUGGCGGGGUAAAGGCCCACCAAGGCGACGAUCCGUAGCUGGUCUGAGAGGAUGAUCAGCCACACUGAAACUGAGACACGGUCCAGACUCCUACGGGAGGCAGCAGUGGGGAAUAUUGGACAAUGGGCGCAAGCCUGAUCCAGCCAUACCGCGUGGGUGAAGAAGGCCUUCGGGUUGUAAAGCCCUUUUGUUGGGAAAGAAAAGCAGCAGGUUAAUACCCCGCUGUUCUGACGGUACCCAAAGAACAAGCACCGGCUAACUUCGUG
rnacentral:rRNA from 1 species